rnacentral:rRNA from 1 species
GACGAACCGUCCGAACGUUAUUCGGAAUCACUGGGCUUACAGAGUUCGUAGGCGGUCCGGUAAGUUAGAUGUGAAAUCCCUUGGCUCAACCAAGGAACUGCGUUUGAAACUACCGGACUCGAGGGAGAUAGAGGAAAGCGGAACUGAUGGUGGAGCGGUGAAAUGCGUUGAUAUCAUCAGGAACACCGGUGGCGAAGGCGGCUUUCUGGGUCUCUUCUGACGCUGAGGAACGAAAGCUAGGGGAGCGAACGGG